rnacentral:lncRNA from 1 species
GUUGUUGCUGCCGGGAGGGACCCUGUAGGAGAUGCUGUUGGAGUAGUGGUUGACACCGGCGAACCUACGGGAGUGGGAGCAGGAGGUGAUGUGGUGGUUGAUAUCGGCGAGUUUGCUGGAGCGGAAGCUGGAGGUGAAGUAGAGGUUGAUGCCGGUGAAAUUGAUGGUGAGGGUGAGUUGUUUGAAGGGUAUGGAGAUAGUGGAGAUGGUGCUAUUCCAUUUCCAGAGGGUGUUUGUGCUGUCGAUGGAGGCUGAGAGGAUAUUUGAGGUGAUUGGGAAGAUGAUGGAGAAGAGGUGGUUGGUGGAGUAUGAAUGUAAGGUGGUUGAGAUGUUGGUGAAUGAGUGUUUGGUGGUGUUUGAAUAUAUGGAGGUUGUGAGAUUGGUGAAGGAGCACCUGGAGGUGUUUGAGAAGAUGGAGAUGGAGUACUUUUUGGAGGGGCUGAAACGUAUGGUGGUUGUGAUGUUGGUGAAGAAGGAGAGUUUGGAGGUGUUUGAAUGUAUGGUGGUUGUGAUCUUGGUGAAGAAGUGUUUGGUGGUGUUUGAAUGUAUGGAGGUUGUGAUGUUGGAGAAUCGUUUUUUGGAGGUGUUUGAAUAUAAGGUGCUUGUGAUGAUGUUGGAGAAGGAGUGUUUGGUGGUGUUGGAACAUAUGGAGGUUGAGAAAUUGGAGAAGGGGUUUUUGGAGGGUGGCUGCUAGGGGAAGGAGUAGUUGGAGGUGUGUAAGGAACACUAGGAGAAGGAGAUUUUGGUGGUGUAAUUGGUACAUAAGGUGGUUGAGAGAUAGGAGAAGGCGUUUUGGGAGGAGUUGGUGUAUAUGGUGGUUCAUUUUUAGGGGAAGGAGCUUUUGGAGGAGUGUAAGGAUGAUUUGGAGGGGUGUGAAUAGGAGAGGGAGUGUUUGGUGGUGUAAUUGGUACAUAGGGUGGUUGAUUGCUAGGGGAAGGUGCUUUUGGAGGAGUAUGGGGAUGAUUUGGAGGGGUGUAAAUAGGAGAAGGAGUGUUUGGUGGUGUGAUUGGUACAUAGGGUGGUUGAUUUCCAGGGGAAUGUGCUUUUGGUGGAGUAUAUGGAGCAUUAGGAGGAGUGUGAAUAGGAGAAGCUGAUUUUGGAGGAGUAUAUGGAACAUUAGGAGGAGUGUGAGUAGGAGAAGGUGUUUUUGGAGGUGUAAUUGGUGUAUAGGGUGGUUCAUUUCCAGGAGAAGGUGCUUUUGGAGGAGUAUAAGGAACAUUAGGAGGAGUGUGAAUAGGAGAAGGAGUUUUAGGGGGUGUAAUUGGUAUAUAUGGUGGUUCAUUUCCCGGAGAAGGGGCUUUUGGAGGAGUAUAGGGAACAUUAGGUGGGGCGUAAAUAGGAGAAGGUGUUUUUGGAGGUGUAAUUGGAACAUAAGGAGGUGUAGGAAGAAGCUUGGGAGGAGGAGUAGACACAUAAGGAGGAGGUUCUCUCACAGCCAACACCACAACAAUCAAUUUUUGACCAUUUUCACAAUUAUGAUCUUUUCCACUAAUGAAAUAAAAGGGACCAGAUCUAUCAAAUUGAAACUCAGAAUCAUCAUCUUCAAAUUUCUUGAUCGGAUUCUUCUUAUUGCACUCGUCAUAAUCCUCUUUGUUCACCACCAACACUGAGUUUGACUCCUUCUUGUACUUAAAAACUAUAACAAAACAAAAUCAUAAUUAAAAACUACUAAUCCACAAGCAAAUUAAUUAACAAUAAUUGAAAUGAAAGUUACCUAGAAUAUCAUUGACUUGGAACCUAUUCCUCGCAGUCCAUUGAUUGUAACUUUCAGAAGGAUUCAAAACCCAUCCAUCUUUUCCACCAGCAUAAAACGUAUAGCCUUGUGAACAUGAAAUUAAACUAAAAAGAAACAAGAAGAUGCAAAUAUGUUUUCGAAGAAGCUUCAUGACUAAUUAACAAGUACUAUACAUAGAGAGAGAGAGAAGAGAGUUAUGGAAAAGUGAUGAUGAAGAGAGUGAUAUAAAGAGAAAGUUUUUGUUGGUUACCGUUGUAUAGUGAUGACUGAAUUAUUAAUUGAUGUACGAACAAGCGUGUGUAACGCGGGGGGGUUACGUGUGAAAUUUUAAGGGAUCUACAAGUGGCAUAGACUAAAGUUAUGAUAGAGAUAUUAAUUUAAUAUAUAAUAGGAUGAAAUGGAUUAUUACUAUAACAUGCAAAGAAAUUUCUAAAGUAAGAAAAGCAUUAAUUAUGAGAUAUUAUUGCUUUCGUGGCCAAUGUUUAGUGGGUUGUGUCUUGUGAUGUGAAGUGAGAUUGAAAACUUUAUUUUCCUACCGACGAGACUAGAGGGCACUACGUGUUUGGCGAAAUGAUAGAGAUAUCAACUUGGAAUAUAUUGUAAGAUGGAGUUAAAUGACUGUUUGAGUUAACUUUCAUUGUUUUCAAUUCUUACUUUAAAAUUAGGAAAGAUAUAAAGGUAAAAGGUUAACAAAGAUAAAUAAAAGUUAUGAUUAUAUAAAUCAAUCAUGACUUUACUUUUAAGUAUAUGAUCCAAAAGUAGAAUUUGGGGAUUGGAAUAGUUGUGCUUUGAUUUACUUUUUACUUACAACUUUUUUUUGGUAACACAAAUUAGUGAUCCAAUCAUGGGUUUGUUGAGUCAACUUUAUUUACAUUAGUUAACUUUUUUCUUAUAUUUAAAACUGGAUGGAGUAACUAUUUUACCUUAUAUUGUAAAUUGGUCUUAAAUCAAAGGAGACAUGAAAUUGGGAAACCAAUGAAAUAAAAAGUUGUAAGGUUGACAUAAACAGCUAAAUGCUGCCAACCACAUCCUCUAGCCACCCCUGCAUUAUUUAAGGCAUUUGUUCCCUGAGAUCAUUUUGAUAAUGAUCAUAUGAUAAAUUGACACCUGAUAAGACACAUUGAAUAGAAUUUAGUAGUACGGAAACAGCAAGCAAAGGUGCUAUUGAAGCAAACUCCUUUUUUUUUAUAGUAGGACUACUACUAAAUAGUUGAAUCCUUAUGUCAUGACCAAAUACAAGAAACAAAACAAAACAUAAACCAAGGAAAAGAGAAAGCUUUAGACCGGCUCUCAUUGAAUGUUUAGCUCUUUGCGGUUGGCCUGCUCCCAACUCUUUGGAAACCCUUGUGCUAUAAAAUUUGAGUUCAAACUUUUUAAUAUAUAAACAAGAACAUAGAUUAAAUGCUUAUAACAGAAUAUUCUUGGUGCAUAAGAUAAAGAAGAUAAAAAUAGUAGAAAAGAGAAGAGAGAUAACAAAUUUUUAAUCCUAUGUUAAAACGGUUACACAAAAAUGGUUGCACACACACUGCAUUACAAUAUUAAGUGGGUACAAUUGUUGAUAGUUACAGUGCUAUAUAUACACAAAUAAUAAUGUCACGUAGACGAAAUAUUAAAAUACUGAAUUACCCUUCAACGUCAUCCCUUAAUUCAGGAUUUGACUAAUCAAAACCAAUAACACUAAUUAUAUCUUUAAAUGAAGAAAUUGACCAAUCUUGAUCAUUUUCGUCAGAACAUCUACCAGCUGCUUCCGGGUGCUAUAGUGCAUAACUUCUAGCACUCCAUUUUGAACUUGACUUCUCAGAAAAUGAUACUUAGUCUAAGUAUGCUUGCUUCUCCCAACAACACUGGAUUAUUGACAAGAUUGAUUGCAGACUUGUUAUCAAUCAUUAGCUUCUGAGGCUCAUUUACCUUGAUUGUCAUAUCCUGUAGUAAAUUUAGAAGUCAAACAACUUGACAUGCAGUCAUAUCACCUGCAAUACAUUCAGAUUCACAGGUUGACAAAACAACAAUUGGUUGAUUCUUGGAACACCAAGAAAUAGGACCUCCUAGAUACUUAAACAAAUAUCCAGAAGUACUUCUUCUGCCAACUACAUAGCAAAUGUCAGGUCUGAUAUUUCACAAACACCUCAUAGAGUCAACCAACUGCUUGAAAGUCGUAGCAUAUACAUCAUCUCCUUCAGAAUCAGAAUCCAAUUUAUGAUUUAUUUUUACAGGUGUGACAGCAGCCUCACAAUUCAGCAACUCGAAUCUCUUCAGAAGCUCAAGUUCAUAUUUCAGCUGAUGCAAAAUGAUACCCUUCUCAGAGCACAUAAACUCCACCCCUAGGAAAUUUUUCAUCUUUCUUAGAUCAGUUAUCUCAAACUCAUUCAUCAACACCUUCUUGAACUUAGCUAUCUCAUGUUCACAACUCCCUGUUAGCAACAUGUCAUCAACAUAGAGACACACUAGAAUCAUAUUGCCUUCAGAAGUAUGCUGAACAUCAAUCCAUACUUCAUCUCACACUUUCUGAAUCCUUGGAGCUUGAAAAAUGAUUUAAUCUUCAGAUUAUAAGCUCGAGGAGCUUGUUUCAGCCCAUACAAGACUUUAUGCAACUUAUACACCAUCCCUUCCUGAUUCUUUUUCUCAAAUCUAGGAGGUUGUGACACAUAUACUUCUUCUUGCAAUGGACCAUUCAGAAAUGCAGAUUUCACAUCCAGAUGCAUCAGAAGCCAAUUCCUGUUAGCAGUUAUCACAAUCACCAUUAUGAUUGUUUCAUGUCUCGCUACAGGAGCAAACACUUCAAAGUAAUCUAACUCGGGUUUCUGUAGAAAACCUCUUGAUACUAACCUUGCUUUGUGUUUGCCAAUUGAUCCAUCUGACUUUAGUUUCUCCUUGAAAACUUAUAUGACGCUUAUGGCUUUCUUGUCCUUUGGAAUCUUAGUCAUUUCUCAAGUCUUGUUUCUUUCUAUAGCCCCAAGUUCUUCUUUCAUAGCCUUCAACCACACUUUCUUCUUGAGCGCUUCUUCAACACUGACUGGUUCGGAGUCUACUAAUAUAGCACAUUGAAUGACUUCUCCUUUAGAGUCUACUUCGGUAUCUUGCAGCAUGCCAAACUCUGCAAACCGUCUUGGGAUGUUUCUGAUUCUUUGUGGCCUCUAAACUUCUUCAUAAUCUUCUUCAGACGCGAGAACAAUAUCAUAUGCUGAAACCCCAAAAGUACCACCUUCAGAGUCUAGAAUAUUCCUAGAGUCUAGAUCUCCACCAGAGUCUUUAUCACCAUCAGAAUCAAAUUCACCUUCAGAGUCAGACUCCCCUUCAUAGUUAGACUCGCCUUUAGAGUCACCUUCAGAAUCAUUUUCUGAUUUUGACUCAUCUUUAGAACCUUCAGAUUCUGAAGUAUCUUUAGGGGUUAACUCUACAUCUGAGUUGGAUUGAGAUUUGCUCCAAUCCCACGUUUCUGAUUCUUUCACAAUGACAUCUUUACUAAAUUCAACCUUGUUAGUGAUAAGAUAGUAGAGCUUAUAGGCACAUGUACUGUGGUAUCCUACAAGCAACAUAACUUCGCUUCAGUCAUCCAACUUCAUUCUCUUAGCAUCUGGAACAUGUUUGUAACAAACAGAACUAAACACCUUCAGAUGGCUCACACUUUAAUUAUCUCCACUCCACUUCUCUAAAGGAACAAUUUCCUCCAGCUUCUUGGUUGGACAUUUGCUCAGUACAUAUGAUACAGUGGCAACAACUUCUCCCCACAAGGUGUGAGGUAACUUUUUCUCCUUCCGCAUGCUCCUUGUCAUAUCAAGCAAAGUUCGAUUUCUUCUAUCAGUAAGACCAUUGUGUUGAGGAGUGUAUGAAUCAAUAACCUCAUGCUCAAUUCCGUUCUCCUCACAUAACUUUCUAAACUUUGUAGAGUUAUACUCACCCCCACCAUUAGUUCUGAGAAUCUUUAGAGUCUGACCACUCUGAUUCUCAACCUUGAUUAUGAAUUUCUUAAAUUCAAUAAACACCUCGUGUUUGAACUUUAUAAAGUAUACCCAUGUCAUUCUUGUGAACUCAUCAAGAAGUGACACAAAGUAUUUAUUCCUCCAAGUGAAGGUACUAGAAAUAGUCCACACACAUCAAAAUGCACCACACCUAGAGCACGCUUUUCUCUUGGAUGCAUUUCAUAUGAAAAUAUCAGUCUUGGUUGCUUCCCUCUUGUGCAUACAUUGCAUGAUUUCUCUAGCUUCUUAAUUGCAGGAAUUCCAUGUAUCAACUUCUAUGAAUUCAGAUUACCUAAGCUUCUGAAGUUCAUAUGACAAAAUCUUUUGUGAUACAACUCACUUUCCUUCACAACACUUGUUGCACUAAGGCAUUCAUAGUUUGCAGUUUUAACAUUCACUUUGAAUGUUCUAUUUCUCCGUUGUUCUGACUUCAUAAUUAGUGUAACGACCCGUAAAAUAUACAUCUAGAAUAAUAUCUUACAAGUGUUAUUAUUUGGUACUGACACAAUCAUAAGUGCCUACUAGCAACAUUUACAUAUUUGACCAAAUUACAAAACAUAAAAGACAACAUAUGGAAAGUUCCAAAAUAAAAAAUCUAAAAUCUAAGUAUAAUAUCCGUCAUUGUACAUGAUUCACAGUGUAAGAUCACAAUAAAAGCUUCCCUUGAAACAUCAAUGCACAGUUCUUCUUGUAUACUAAACAUGCAAAUAAUACCUGAAAAAUAACAACAAUAUUAGGAUGAGGUAAUAAUCUCAGUGAGUUCCACUAUCCUAUGGAUUCACUCGCUUUAUAGGGUUCUAAUCAAAUCCUAACUCAAGUCACAAAGGGGGAAUAAGACUUGAGUUCACAAAACUCAUAAUGUAUGGAAACAUGUCUCUUGAGUUCACUAACUCAAACAAUCACUAGCUCAGAAACCAAAUCAAGGCAUCUUUCCCAGGAAAGCCCUAGGUAUAGGGUUAUCGAUACGGGCCACAAAUCCUUGUACCAUACUUUGACAUACGCAUGGAUUUCAGAUUCUAAGGGACUCCUCAACCUUAUGAAUCACCCUUUCCUAUGGCACUUAAAACCCAUUUCAAGCCUUUCACCUUUAUGGGGCUCUAACCCACUUAAGGUUCCAUCGUUUUUCUUUAGGACCCAUCCCUGGUCAAAGUAAUUGUGUGUACAUCCCAAUGGAGUGAAGGAGAAUUGCCAUCCAAGGCGCAGCGGAAUUUAAAAAUUUCUCCAUUUAGUGAUCCUUACGAAUGGGCAUGAUCAGUGAUAGAAUCGUUACCUCUUGUGGCGAUUCAAACCUUUGGGCCAGAUUCUCUGACAAUGAUCAAACCUUUGAUACAGAUCCACGGGGCGAUCACGAACGUUACGAUGACAACGCUCUUACUCAGUCCACACGAACGGAUUCCUUCAAUCGCAGUGCUAGCUGUUAUGAAUGAAGGCUUUGAGUGAGAGAAAGAGGGAAACAAAAUUCCAAGUCUCUACUUGAAUUUCUGUCUGAGUGGAAUGGAGUGACAAUGCUUCUACCCAAGGGUUCUAUUUAUAGAACCACUUGUGUGGGCUUCAAGCCAAAAAGCCCAUUUAAGUGCAUUUUGGACCAUAUCUCAUAAUAUGCCAAAAUCACUUAAGUAUUUGGUACCUUACCAUAUUUCGUCUCCCACUUAAGUGCACCGUACCUUACGGUGUUCCUUAAUUAUUCUAUCUCUCAUCAAUCCGUCCUUUGUGUGUGACCCUAUAGGUUUUCGCGACGUUGGCAAUUAUAUUAAAUCACGAUUUAACAUAAUAAACAGUGAGCGGUUAUCUAGCAACACAUCACUUGCUACCCAAGUCACGAAAAUGUCAUGUUGAUCUGACAAAACCUCCUGGUGAUAAUAAUUAUGUUGUAUAAUUACCCCUUUGCCCUUAGUGUCUAUAUUGAACACAAGGUAUAGACCGUGUCACCCUUGUCCAGUUCAAUAUUGGCCCAUAGACAUUUAUCCUGUUACGCAGGAUUGGGAAAAUUCCAUCUAGGACACUCAUGUUCCUCAGCAUGCUUCGUGGGGUACCCAUCAACUGUCUUUAUGGUUAUCCAGUUAGGACAACGUUGGAUCAGCAAUAAACACUCGACUCUACAUCUAGGCAUCCAUAGUGGCUUUCAGGUCGAAGAGUGGUAUACACUAUUAUCACCAUGAGAAUAACUUAUGACACUUUGCAUAACUUUCUAUAUAGUAUUCUCACAGCGGUCAAUCCGGUAUAAAUAUUACUCCUAAUAUUCAUACCUAUGUUUAAGACUUGAUAACUCUUUAUCCAUGAUCCAUGAGAUGUGAUCAUCAAUCUACAAACAUAAUAGUCUUAAUGCCUUUAAUGUUAUCCCACUUCACAUUAAAGCUCGACUACGGAUACUUUUAAGAAUUAGUGUCCUUAUGUUUAAUGUGUUCUCAUGAUUAAGUCACACUUAUACAUUAAACAGACUAUCUAUUCCAGGGACUUUAUUAAUCAACCAUAAUAAAGAAAAUGCCUUUUAUUAUUAAUAAAUAAUUCGAUACAAGUACCAAAAGUAUUGGCCUCUAGGGCUUACACCAACAUGGAGCUCUAUAUAAGCAUCUUCUCUUAGGACGACACAAGUAAGGGGUUGUUUACGACUAUGUGAUAAAAUAUAACAUAAUGUGAUUGUAUUCGACAAUCACAAGGUGAUCACACUCACCUUAAUCACACCAUAACAAUAACACAUGUUCCAUACAAAGCAUAUUAUUCACCAAUCAAUAACGUCUCUUCUUCUUCAUGUUUCUCCAGCUUUGCAUAAGUUUCUUGAUUCUUCUUCUUUUCUGGACAAUCACUAGAAUAGUGACCAUACUUAUGACAAUUGUAGCACUGAAUGUGACUUUUGUUUGACUUUUGACCACCACCACUUCCUCUACCUGGAGCACCACCUCUUUGGUUGCCUUGGUUCCAGGUUUUUCUCUGAUUCAACCAGUUUCCUUCUUGCUGAUUUCGACCAGUCGAAUUUUUGUAGCCUCCUUUGUUUUUGUUGCCAUUCCAGCUUCCAUUGCCUUUCCUUUCUUUUGCCGAUUGUGCCUGCAAAGCCAUAUCACUCUUUGAAUUUCCUGCAACUCUUUCAACCAUUCUUUGUUCAUGAGAUUCAAGCGUCCCAUGAAGCUCUUCGUCUGUCCAUUUUAACAAAUCUUUUGACACUUCUAUGGCUAUUAGCAUGUGGUCGAACUUUGGAGCCAAUGACCUCAAGAUCUUUCCAACAACAGAUCUUGAUGUCAACACUUCACCACAUACCUUGAUUUGAUUCACCAGUUUCGUAACCUUGGUGAAGAAAUCAGUUAUGCUUUCAUUGUCUUCCAUCUGAAGCAAUUCAUACGUCCUUCUGUGAGUUUGUAACCUCACAUUUUUCAACUUCUCCGCGCCUCUAAAGGACUUCUCCAAAAUUUCCCAUGCUUCUUUCGCUGACUCUACAUCACUAACCUUUUCAAAGUUAUCUUCAUCAACACAUUUAUGGAAUAUAAGUAAAUGUUUAUAAUCUUUCUUCUUCACAUCUGUAUGUGUAGCCUUUUCUUGAUUUGUCGCAUUUUCUGCAAGCGUUGUUACUCCUUCCUUCACAAGCGUUGAUAACAGAACACAAUCUUUAUCUGCUUGCACCAAUUCUCAUAAUUGUUAUUCUUGAGAAUCCAAAGAUUUACUGGAAAAUGGUCGUUUGGAUGAUUCAUUGCCAUCGUCAUUUUCAUCCCACGAAUCGUUUAAACCGGAGCUCUGAUACCAGAUAUUGGAAAUCCAUCACAACCUAUGGAGAAUUUAAAUUAAUAUUGAUGAACAAGAUUGAUAUCACCCACACAAUAACAAUGAAAAGAGAAGAACAAUUGAGAAAGAAAAGAACGAUGAAGGAGAAGAAGAAUUUUCUACAGAGUUUCUCUCUGCCCACAACCUGUGGAAAACUUCUUAUUCACUUUGCAACUGAAAAAUACUGUGAAUACAAUAUUAUGAAUACAACAUUCAAGAAUAAGGGUUACUCCUUAUAUUUAUAGAUUUAGGUUUGCUUGCACACUAAGCCAAAGCCCAUAAACUAUAGAAGCCCAUAAUAGUUAACAUUACUAAAAUAGGCCUAAGUCGAAAUCUUGUGUUAAGCAACAUGCUUAGACACUUCGACACUAAUACAACUCAACACACUAGGUGGUUAGACACUUCCUUGCUUCUGUCGAGCAACCUGCUUCGAUACAAGGAAUUACAAUUCAACAUUUUCCAUUACGAGAAACGGGUAUGAAAAGGUGGUAAGGUGUAGUCAACACUUGGGGUACUUAUCUCCAUGUUAGCAACACCCUGGUAUGUAUUCUAAGGGGAAACUUUUGUGCUUAAGGAGAUGGUAAAAGAAAGGAGUAAUCCAGGCUACGCCUAUAAAUAAUUGUUUCCUUUAUAAUAUGUUGAUUUUUCUAAUAAGAGUUCAAGUUGACCACAAUGAAGGCUUAAAAACAAAUUUGGUGAAACAAAAUGGUCAAAGAAACUAAAUUUCUAUCACUAUAAAAGGAAAAAAAACACCCAGACAUGGGUAACAUGUGUUAGACCAUAUCAUGAAUAUCAAAACGAGUUGAUUUGGAAAGCACAGAUCGUUGAGAAGACCAAGAGUCGUGAAAUAUACAAAUUUAUUCCCUAAUUAAUUAUUUUUAUUGGUGGAUAAGGCGAGUUAAUGUUUCUGUCGUUUGUAACUCCUUAGAGAAUUCAUUUAAAUCUGCAUGUUUAAAUAAUGGGUGUCGUUAAUUUCCCUUGCGAGGGCGUGGGGCACUUCCUCUUUUCUAAACACUUAAAAUUAUAUAGAGUGGUUGUCGAAAGAAACUAUAUCCUAUCGAAGAAAUCAAAUUUUUAGUAAUAAGACAUCAAAUAUUAUGAUCGAAAUAAACCAAGAGACAACACAAAUUAAGAAAAUAGGAAGUUGAAGAAGAGAAGUCGAGAAAAACUAACCGAUGUAAAGUUUUACAUCACCUUAUGAAUGUUAUGAAUUAUUUGUGCUUUUAAUUUUUUUAAUAUAAUUCAUCAAGUACAAAGUCCGGACAUAUAUUUAUUCUCCAACAAAAGUAAGGGGCAAGAACGACGAAGGCCUCCGCUGAAGGCAUUUAACCUAAGACCUCCACAGGGGACACACCGAUUAAGUUAACAUACCUCUGAACUUAAACUAAAGUCAAAGUAAAUAAGAACCUCUAAAAAAUCGGUCAAAUAAAUAGAAACCUCUGACCGGGUUAUGUUAAUCAAACCUCUAACCUAAUGAAAUCGACCAUGUAAAUAAUAACCUUUGGUCGGGUUAUGUUAAUCAAAUCUCGGAUCUAAUAAAGUCGGCCAUGUGAAUAAGAACCUCUGGCCGAGUUAUCUUAAUCAAACCUCUGACCCAAUGAAAUCAGCCAUGUAAGUAAGAACCCCUGGUCAGGUUAUGUUAAUAAAAAAUAUGACCUAAUCAAAGGUCUAAAUCACCAGCAAGUCAAUUAGGUCACUAAAGAUCUAUGACUUAAAAAAAAGAGAGUUGAUAUGCAUGAAUGAUAAGUUCUAAUAUAUACCACUAAAAAUGAACAAUUUAAAGGUACGCUCGUGGUUGUACGCGCAAUAUGGGAAGAAACAAACAUAUAAUAUAAUAAUAAUAAACACAAAAAAGGCCUCAGAAAGGCUUAAGUAUUAUACUGAAAAUAAAAUAAACAUUAUCCAAACAUUACAAAAAAUGCAUCCUCAAAGAUGACUAAUGACAAAACGAUUGCGAGUCAAUGUCCUGAUGAGAACGAACUAUGACUCUAAUCACAUUGAUUAUCCAUGGAUCAAAUCUCGGCACACUGGGGUUCUCUAAAGAAUGAAGUGAGAUAUACUCAGAAUUUUCCAACAUGUGAUCAUCUGAAUGUUUCAGGAGUUGGUUACUAAUACACUCGGAAACCCACAUGGCUAUCACAAUUCUAAAAACAAGGUCAAGCCUUGGCUUAGUUAAAACACGAAGCCAACAGGUCGAGAUCCUAUUGGGUAUAUCCAAGUUCUCUAUGUCUAGAACCUAUUGAGUUCUACGAUCCUAACAGGUCGAGAUCUCACUAGAGAUCUCCGACUUCUUCAUGUCUAGAACCUACCGAGUUCUACGAUGCCAACAGGUCGAGAUCCCACUAAGGCUCUCCGACUUCUCCAUGUCUAGAACAUACCGAUUUCUACAAUGCCAACAGGUUGAGAUCAAUCUCUCCGAUUUCUCCAUGCCUAGAACUUAUCAAGUUCUACGAUGCCAACAAGUAAAGAUCCUUACUAGGGCUCCCAUACUUCUCCAUGUAUAGAACCUACCGAGUUCUAUAAUGCCAACAAGUAGAGAUCCCUACUAGGGAUAUCCACUUCUCCAUGUAUAGAACCUACUGAUUUCAAUGACAACAUUUGGUCGAGAUCUCACUAGGCUCUCCGACUUUUGUAGAUCUAGAAUCUAUCGAGUUCUACAAGGACAACUAGUCGAGAUCCCACUAGGGCUCUCCGACUUCUCUAUGUCUAGAAAUGGUUUGGAAACCCUGUCGAACUAGAGUCAUUAUGGUGAUUGGAUUUCCCAUAAAAACAAACCGGAUGGAAGUACAACCCAGUCAAGAAGAAAAAAUUGCAGGAUUCUUUGUCCGAAUAUUUCAUCCUGUUGGGCCUGAUGAUUGGGGACUUGUGUACACCCUGAAAUUAUUAAAGCUAAGUGGUCCUGAUAAACAUUAUUGGGAUAAACAUCCCUGAAGCUAGCCAGGCGAGGUCAUAAUCGUCAUGUCUGGUAGGAGGUAUGUUAGGAAGGAAUGAAUGGCCAUCAUUGUAGGUGGUCCAAGGUUUCUCAUAUGUUUACUCUUUUGUGUUAUUUAUGGAUCAGAUUCAUUCCUGUUUGGUAUUGAGGGACUUUUUAUAUCACAAACCUUUCCAUUUCCAUGGAUACUAAAGAGGUAUGAUUAAUAUAUUUUAGUAACCAUUAACCAUUUGUAACUGCUUCAACCCUUUAACCUUUAUGUAGCAGAUUCGUCUAUUGGAAUGCCAUAAUGGCUCCGAUUUUGACGGUCCUUUAGAGCCCGAUAAACUGAGUAUGGGAUGAGUAUGUAACUCGCUACCCGACUUCAUAAUAAUUCCCCGACCUCAUAAAAUUCCCGGGAUGUACACAGACCAUACCAAAAUCCGAGAAGCAUACUUAGUGUUCUUGCUAAAAAACACUAAAAUGUUGACUUCCUUGUUCUAGUUCAAGGAGAACCUAAAAUGAAUGGUUGGAGUGUCUAUUAUGUGAGAUUUUCGCGUAUAUUGCCUGCCUUCUUCCAUUCAAGUAUCCUCCUAUUUAUAGGUUUCAUUCUCCCAUUGUCUGAAUCUUCAUAUCCUUCAUAAGUUCUCAUGUCAAUAAUGUCCUUCUCCCCUUAUAAUUGCCUUUUAACGACCGUCUCUUCAAUAAUUAUAACUCCAUAUCAUAAUGUAUCAUAUAAUAAUCGUCUCUUGUGACCUUUCAAAUGGAUUCUUGGCCUUAUCAUCGGGCCCGACCUCUACUGAUGGGAUCAUUCUUAGUGUAGAGGAGGUCGCAUCCGUCUUGAUUAUUCUGAUGUCCUAACCGGAAUCUGAUUAGUAGGUCUGAUGUCUUACACGGGUUCCGACUUGUAAAUAGUUGCAUGACUAUCCGAUAUGUUGACAUCAACCUACUGGGUUGUUAUUCCAAUUCGGUUUUAAAGAGCUCGGGUACACAAGUAGGUUUCGUCGAUCUCAUACCUCAGUUGGUCAACUAAUUUUCUGGGAUGUACAAUAAUUAUUGUUCAUUGCCAUCAUUGUUGGUGGUCCAUUGUUUCUUCAUAAGGUCGGUAUAUUUUAUGUUAUUCAUCGUCCUGAUCCCCUUUCUAUUUGGUCUUAGGACCUUUUUAUACUGUCAGCCUUCUCCCUUAUGAAUAGUCACAAUAAUUAGGUUUUAUGGCCAUAAACAUAACCGUUUAUUCUAAUUAUUCGUAACGAACUUGAUAAGUACUUGUAACUGUUUAUGACCAUUGAUGAUACGUAACUGAUUCAUUAAUCAUUUUGUAACGGUUUCGUCCCUUGAUUGUUCCUUUAGAGCCCGGUCGAUAAAAUCUGGGAUAAGUAUAAAACUCGUUGUUUAGGCUCAUAAUAAUUCUCCGAGAUAUAUGUCGUCGAUAUUCGGGUCCUAAAAUCCGAGAUGUACACUAACAUUUCGUAACCUUCAUAUGAUCCCUAGUUUGCCCCUUAACUGUUUUAAGGAAACCGACCGCCCGAAAUUAGGGUUCGACCCAUGUGUGCCGGUCAGAGGUUCCUACAUGAUCAUCUCGAUAAAAAUGGAUAUCUCGGCCAGGUUUAGAAAUUUCGGUUUCAUACCUCGGUUGGCCAAAUAAUUUCUGGGAUGUACAUAAGCCCUUCGGGCAUGAAUCCUAAAAGGAUGAAAUGUUCAGACAAAAGAAGCCUGAGACAUUAUUCACCAUUUGAAGAUAAGGUACAACUUGAUCUACUAUUACUUGAAUGCACUUUCUAAAUCGACACAACGAUGUGAAUGAUCGUGGCAAAUCUUUUAUAACAUGGGGCAUAUCUUUUUGCUAGAUUUUCUCUCUUUCUCUCCCACAAUACAUUUGGUCCUAUUGAGGUCCUUGGAUUUAUAACAAUGUUGUAUUUUACUUCUACUGAUCUUUGAUAAUUACCUUGCCUAAGCCCAAAUCGUAUUUUUACUUUGCCGAGGAGAAAUGUAAGCUCCAAGCAUAUCUUGGGAAGAUCUAUGACUUUAAUAAUGUCGGAGUACACUACGUCUUUAAUAAAGAAGCCAAAGAUUCCUGGUAGAUUCUUGACAUAGUGUCGUCUUAGAACCUGGUGGAUUCUAGUCGUAGAGAAGUCGGAAAGACCCAGUGAGGUCUCGACUAACGGUCAUUGUAGAACCUGGUAAGUUCUUGGUAUGGAGAAAUCGAAGAGCCUUAAGGGUCCUCGACCAUUUGUAUAACUCGGUGAGUUCCAUAUAAGGAGAAGUCAGAGAGCCCUAGUGGAGUCUCGAUCUAUUGAAGCUCUAUUUUAACUACUCAAAUGCUUGGCCUUGUUCUUAUAUUUGUGCCACCCCUUGUAGGUUUUAAGUAUUGUGGUAAUCUAGGCACUACUACUGGAUUCCCUCAUAUUACUCUGAUUAAAUAAGAUCCAUUCAAUCUUAGACCAUUGAAGUUGGGUUCACACACCAUUGUCGUGAUAUAUGUAGGAUAAUGUUUUUUAACAAAUCUGUGAUUCUCUCUUGAACGUGAAUCAAGCUCUUAUGAAAUUGUUUUAAUUGUGACUGUUUUAGUCCUUUUGGAUAUGUAGUCCUAAUACAUUUUUAUCUCCUUAAUAACAACUUAUUUGUCCAAAUGAAAAUCAGAUAAAAUAGUCGGCUCCAAGCGAGUCAACUUGUCUUUUUAGCUGGAGUUUUGUACCGUAUAGGUUUAAAGCCUCAACGUCAGACCUUAACGUUUUGAGGAGUCUCAUUAAUCUCGAACGCAGACCAACUAACUCUGAGUAUAUCAUGUCGGAUAUUUGGUCAUUGGUAAGUUAACCAAACCGCUUAAAGUCAGAGGUAUGUUAACUUUGUAUGACCGACGUUCAGAGUCCCGUGGGGGUUUGACGUUAAAUGGAGGUCUGAUACUUUUAUUUUGCAUGACCGACGUUCAGAGCCCUAUGGUGUCGCAUCCGCGAAAAACAACCGGCGGGCUAAAACAAAACAAACAGAGCCGCCACCGUGCGUUAUUUAUCCCAAUGAGGGAAAGGAAACGCUCGAAGUAAACCUGGAAAAGACAUGGUCUCGCGACCAAAGAGAGAUGGGAUCGGGAGUCGGUUAUGCGAAGGGAAGGUAUUAGCACCCCUACGCAUCCGUCGUACUCGACGUGAAGUAAACCUGGAAAAGACAUGGUCUCGCGACCAAAGAGAGAUGGGAUCGGGAGUCGGUUAUGCGAAGGGAAGGUAUUAGCACCCCUACGCAUCCGUCGUACUCGACGGGAUCCACACUCAAAAAGAUAGAAGAAAGGUUGCUAAAACCGCUCACAAACAUCACACACACACACACACACACACACUGAAAACAACAUAGGUGGAAAAGA